rnacentral:rRNA from 1 species
GACGAACGCUGGCGGCGUGCCUAACACAUGCAAGUCGAACGGAAAGGCCGUGCCUUUGUGGGGUGCUCGAGUGGCGAACGGGUGAGUAACACGUGAGUAACCUGCCCUUGACUUUGGGAUAACCUAAGGAAACUGGGUCUAAUACCGGAUAGGAGUUCUUGCUGCAUGGUGGGGGCUGGAAAGUUUCGGCGGUUGGGGAUGGACUCGCGGCCUAUCAGCUUGUUGGUGGGGUAGUGGCUUACCAAGGCCUGGACGGGUAGCCGGCCUGAGAGGGUGACCUGCCACGUUACGCCGGAGAUGCGACCCAGACUCGACCGGUAGGCAGCGGUGGGGAGUAUAGCACAGUAGGCGGAACCCUGAUGCGGCACCGCCGCGUGGGGGAAGACAGCCUUGCCGUAGUGAACCGCUUUCGCCUGAGACGAGGCGUGAAUGACGGUACUGGGAGAAGAAGCACCGGCUAACUACGUG